CAUCAACAACAUCUGUUUCCUCGGCACCAUCUACACCAAUAACUACACCUGAAGACACAACCCGGGUACCAGGUGUCUCAACCACGAGUGUAGCUCUGAGGAUGAGACUGUUGUCCUCCACCCCGCUGUCUGAGGACCACAUCAGGACCUCCGUCAUGCAGCAGAUCAGAGAUGAACUGGUGAGACGAGGGCUGUCAGUCACGACUCUACGCCUCAUCAGUGUGUCGUCAGCGUCCACAGCACAGCGCCCCCUGGUGGUUUAACGUGCACUGACAUGGAACCCUGCAUAGUAUAAAAAAGAAAAGAUUAUUUUUUAG